rfam:Schistosoma mattheei strain Denwood, Zambia genome assembly, scaffold: SMTD_scaffold0007930
GCACUGCUGAGGAGUCCCAUACUAGGACGAAACGGCCGUCCAGUGU